rnacentral:rRNA from 1 species
AGUGGCGGACGGGUGAGUAACGCGUGAGCAACCUGCCCUUCAGAGGGGGAUAGCGUUUGGGAACGAACGGUAAUACCGCAUAACGUAUUUUAACCGCAUGAUUGAAAUACCAAAACUACGGUGCUGAAGGAUGGGCUCGCGUUGGAUUAGAUAGUUGGUGGGGUAACGGCCUACCAAGUCGACGAUCCAUAGCCGGACUGAGAGGUUGAACGGCCACAUUGGGACUGAGACACGGCCCAGACUCCUACGGGAGGCAGCAGUGGGGAAUAUUGCACAAUGGGGGAAACCCUGAUGCAGCAACGCCGCGUGAAGGAAGACGGUUUUCGGAUUGUAAACUUCUGUUCUUAGUGAAGAAAAAUGACGGUAGCUAAGGAGCAAGCCACGGCUAACUACGUGCCAGCAGCCGCGGUAAUACGUAGGUGGCAAGCGUUGUCCGGAAUUACUGGGUGUAAAGGGAGCGCAGGCGGGGAAUCAAGUCAGCUGUGAAAACUACGGGCUUAACUUGUAGACUGCAGUUGAAACUGGUUUUCUUGAGUGAAGUAGAGGUUGGCGGAAUUCCGAGUGUAGCGGUGAAAUGCGUAGAUAUUCGGAGGAACACCGGUGGCGAAGGCGGCCAACUGGGCUUUAACUGACGCUGAGGCUCGAAAGUGUGGGGAGCAAACAGGAUUAGAUACCCUGGUAGUCCACACUGUAAACGAUGAUUGCUAGGUGU